UGGGGAAUAUUGGACAAUGGGGGGAACCCUGAUCCAGCCAUGCCGCGUGUGUGAAGAAGGCCUUAUGGUUGUAAAGCACUUUAAGCGAGGAGGAGGGUACUGGUAUUAAUACUACCAGCUACUGGACGUUACUCGCAGAAUAAGCACCGGCUAACUCUGUGCCAGCAGCCGCGGUAAUACAGAGGGUGCGAGCGUUAAUCGGAUUUACUGGGCGUAAAGCGUGCGUAGGCGGCUAAUUGAGUCGGAUGUGAAAUCCCCGAGCUUAACUUGGGAAUUGCAUUCGAUACUGGUUAGCUAGAGUGUGGGAGAGGAUGGUAGAAUUCCAGGUGUAGCGGUGAAAUGCGUAGAGAUCUGGAGGAAUACCGAUGGCGAAGACAGCCAUCUGGCCUAACACUGACGCUGAGGUACGAAAGCAUGGGGAGCAAACAGG
rnacentral:rRNA from 1 species